GAUGAACGCUGGCGGCGUGCCUAAUACAUGCAAGUCGAGCGAACAGAUGAGGAGCUUGCUCCUCUGACGUUAGCGGCGGACGGGUGAGUAACACGUGGAUAACCUACCUAUAAGACUGGGAUAACUUCGGGAAACCGGAGCUAAUACCGGAUAAUAUAUUGAACCGCAUGGUUCAAUAGUGAAAGACGGUUUUGCUGUCACUUAUAGAUGGAUCCGCGCCGCAUUAGCUAGUUGGUAAGGUAACGGCUUACCAAGGCAACGAUGCGUAGCCGACCUGAGAGGGUGAUCGGCCACACUGGAACUGAGACACGGUACAGACUCCUACGGGAGGCAGCAGUAGGGAAUCUUCCGCAAAGGGCGAAAGCCUGACGGAGCAACGCCGCGUGAGUGAUGAAGGUCUUCGGAUCGUAAAACUCUGUUAUUAGGGAAGAACAAAUGUGUAAGUAACUAUGCACGUCUUGACGGUACCUAAUCAGAAAGCCACGGCUAACUACGUG
rnacentral:rRNA from 1 species